rnacentral:rRNA from 1 species
AGAGAGAGACAUGCGCGCAUAUCAAUAAGCGGAGGAAAAGAAACUAACAAGGAUUCCCUUAGUAACGGCGAGUGAAGCGGGAAGAGCUCAAAUUUGAAAUCUUCAAGGUUUUACCUUGACGAAUUGUAGUUUAAAGAAGUGUUUUCUGCUGAAGUUUUGGUAAAAGUUCUUUGGAAUAGGACAUCAUAGAGGGUGAGAAUCCCGUAUUUGACCAUUAUUUUCAGCUUUGUGAUACACUUUCAAAGAGUCGGAUUGUUUGGGAAUGCAGUCCAAAAUGGGUGGUAAAUUUCAUCUAAAGCUAAAUAUUGGCGAGAGACCGAUAGCGAACAAGUACCGUGAGGGAAAGAUGAAAGGAACUUUGAAAAGAGAGUUAAACAGUACGUGAAAUUGUCAAAAGGGAAGCGUUUGACACCAGUGUUGUUUUCUCGAAAAUCAAUUAAAAAUGGCUCGAUUUUGUAUUGCUGAGACCUUAAAAGCUCACUGUACAUUUUUCGUGUCUUUUUUAAUGCACUUUUCGUUUAACAAGUCAACAUCAGUUUCUUUUGUUGUAAAAGGGUCAUUGGAAGGUGGCCUUCUUUUCGGAGAAAGUGUUUAUAGCCUUUGGCCUCUGCAAUCGGAGAGACUGAGGUCUGCAGCGUAGACUCUUCGGGGUUAGAUACAUUUGUGCUAAGUUAUAGCUUUUUAUAGACAACUUGUUGACUAUAAUUAGUCUUGUAGCUUACUCGCUUAUGCUAUUUUACCUACGCUUAGGAUGUUGAAGAUGUAGCACAUCAU